rnacentral:sRNA from 1 species
GGGGCUUUAAAAGAUUGAAAUUCGUUUUUAACGGGUAGGCAGUGUUCGAUAAGAUUUUACAACGGAUUUUAAAAGCUUUUUAAAAGUGAUUUACAUGACUAAUAACUGUUUCCUGGCUUGUAUUUGGGAACUUGUAAUUAUUUAUACAGGUUGAAUACAGAGAUCAUCAUUCUACUUGCAAUGUUGAAGAAAUAGGAAAACAAGAAAAAUCCCAAACAAGGCGAUGAAGAAAUGGAAAGAGAAGAAGGAAAAGAAGAAAAAGUAGAAGAACAUGAUGAAUAUAAUGAUGCUGUAGAUCAAGAAGCGUAUAUAAAUUUGUCAAAUGAUGAAGAUAAUGAUACUGCACCCACAGAGAAAGAAUCACAAAAAAAAAAAAGAAGAAACAAAUGUCUGCUUUCCUUAACUUUUUAAAAAGACAUGAUAAAAUUGUCAAAAAAUAAAAAUUUUGUUUUGAUGUUUUGGUUUACAGGUUUUAAAAGAAGAAAACGUAGAAGAACAUGAUGAACAUGAUGAGACUGAAGAUCAAGAAGCAUAUGUAAUUUUGUCAGAUGAUGAAGAUAAUGGGACUACACCCACAGAGAAAGAAUCACAACCUCAAAAAGAAGAAACAACAGAGGUCUGCAUUCCUUAAUUGUUUAAAAAGACAUGAUAAAAUUGUCAAAAAAUAAAAAUUUGUUUUGAUGUUUUGGUUUACAGGUUCCAAAAGAAGAAAACGUAGAAGAACAUGAUAAACAUGAUGAGACUGAAGAUCAAGAAGCAUAUGUAAUUUUGUCAGAUGAUGAAGAUAAUGGGACUGCACCCACAGAGAAAGAAUCACAACGUCAAAAAGAAGAAACAACAGAGGUCUGCAUUCCUUAAUUGUUUAAAAAGACAUGAUAAAAUUGUCAAAAAAUAAAAUUUUGUUUUGAUGUUUUUGUUUACAGGUUCCAAGAGAGACCAAGAAAGAUGAUGAAGAUGUUAAUCAAACACCACUCUCUACGCAAGAAGAAGAAAUCACCCAGGGACAGAGCAGUCGUAAGUUCUUUUUACAUUCACAGAUGAUUUGCCUUGAUAAAGAACUUCUAUUUUUUUUUUUU